UACAGAGGGUGCAAGCGUUGUUCGGAAUCAUUGGGUUUAAAGGGUGCGUAGGCGGAUAAUUAAGUCAGUGGUGAAAUCUUGCGGCUCAACCGUAAAAUUGCCAUUGAAACUGAUUAUCUUGAGUACAGUUGAGGUGGGCGGAAUGUAUCAUGUAGCGGUGAAAUGCUUAGAUAUGAUACAGAACACCUAUUGCGAAAGCAGCUCACUAAACUGCAACUGACGCUGAGGCACGAAAGCGUGGGGAUCAAACAGG
rnacentral:rRNA from 1 species